rnacentral:rRNA from 1 species
AGUUGUAUCCUGGCUCAGGAUGAACGCUGGCGGUAUGCUUUACACAUGCAAGUCGUACGAGAGUUUUUAACUCAAGUGGCGGACGGGUGAGUAACACGUAAGAAUUUGCCUUUAGGAGGGGGAUAACAACUGGAAACGGUUGCUAAUACCCCAUAUGCUUUAUGCUUUCGAGUGAAAAGUGAAAUGGUUUUUCCGCCUAAAGAGAAGCUUGCGGCUGAUUAGCUUGUUGGUGAGGUAAUGGCUCACCAAGGCGACGAUCAGUAUCUGGUUUGAGAGGACGAUCAGACACACUGGAACUGAGACACGGUCCAGACUCCUACGGGAGGCAGCAGUGGGGAAUUUUCCGCAAUGGGCGAAAGCCUGACGGAGCAAUACCGCGUGAGGGAUGACGGCCUAUGGGUUGUAAACCUCUUUUCUCAGGGAGGAAUCAAUGACGUGUACCUGAGGAAUAAGCAUCGGCUAACUCCGUGCCAGCAGCCGCGGUAAGACGGAGGAUGCAAGUGUUAUCCGGAAUCACUGGGCGUAAAGCGUCUGUAGGUGGUCAAAUAAGUCAACUGUUAAAUCUUGAGGCUCAACCUCAAAAUCGCAGUCGAAACUAUUAGACUAGAGUAUAGUAGGGGUAAAGGGAAUUUCCAGUGGAGCGGUGAAAUGCGUAGAGAUUGGAAAGAACACCGAUGGCGAAGGCACUUUACUGGGCUAUUACUAACACUGAGAGACGAAAGCUAGGGUAGCAAAUGGGGAUUAGAUACCCCAGUAGUCCUAGCCGUAAACAAUGGAUACUAGAUGUUGAACAGAUCGACCUGUGCAGUAUCAAAGCUAACGCGUUAAGUAUCCCGCCUGGGAAGUAUGCUCGCAAGAGUGAAACUCAAAGGAAUU